rnacentral:rRNA from 1 species
CGGUGGAGCAUGUGGUUUAAUUCGAUGCAACGCGAAGAACCUUACCUGGUCUUGACAUCCCGAGAAUCUUUCAGAGAUGGGGGAGUGCCUUCGGGAACUCUCAUACAGGUGCUGCAUGGCUGUCGUCAGCUCGUGUCGUGAAUGUUGGGUUAAGUCCCGCAACGAGCGCAACCCUUUUCCUUAUUGCCAGCGGGUUA